GCUAACUCUGUGCCAGCAGCCGCGGUAAUACAGAGGUCUCAAGCGUUGUUCGGAAUCACUGGGCGUAAAGGGUGCGUAGGUGGCGUGGUAAGUCAGAUGUGAAAGCCCGGGGCUCAACCUCGGAAUUGCAUCCGAUACUGCCGUGCUGGAGUACUGAAGAGGUGACUAGAAUUCUCGGUGUAGCAGUGAAAUGCGUAGAUAUCGAGAGGAAUACCAACGGCGAAGGCAGGUCACUGGGCAGUUACUGACACUGAGGCACGAAGGCCAGGGGAGCAAACGGGAUUAGAUACCCCUGUAGUC
rnacentral:rRNA from 1 species